rnacentral:rRNA from 1 species
CCUACGGGAGGCAGCAGUGAGGAAUAUUGGUCAAUGGACGAGAGUCUGAACCAGCCAAGUAGCGUGAAGGAUGACUGCCCUAUGGGUUGUAAACUUCUUUUAUAUGGGAAUAAAAUGUUCCACGUGUGGGCUUUUGUAUGUACCAUAUGAAUAAGGAUCGGCUAACUCCGUGCCAGCAGCCGCGGUAAUUCGGAGGAUCCGAGCGUUAACCGGAUUUUUUGGGUUUAAAGGGAGCGUAGGUGGUUUUUUAAGUUAGUUGUGAAAGUUGGCGGCUCAAACGUAAAAUUUCAGUUGAAACUGGCAGUCUUGAGUACAGUAGAGGUGGGCGGAAUGCGUGGUGUAGCGGUGAAAUGCUUAGAUAUCACGAAGAACUCCGAUUGCGAAGGCAGCUCACUGG